GCAGGAAGUAGUUUAAACAGAAUA
rnacentral:tRNA from 1 species